rnacentral:rRNA from 1 species
UACGGGGGGAGCAAGCGUUGUUCGGAUUUACUGGGCGUAAAGGGCGCGUAGGCGGUCAGCACAAGUCAGUUGUGAAAUCUCCGGGCUUAACUCGGAAAGGUCAACUGAUACUGUGCGACUAGAGUGCGGAAGGGGCAACUGGAAUUCUCGGUGUAGCGGUGAAAUGCGUAGAUAUCGAGAGGAACACCUGCGGCGAAGGCGGCCUGCUGGGCAGUAGCUGACGCUGAGGCGCGACAGCGUGGGGAGCAAACAGG